ACUCAAAGGAAUAGACGGGGGCCCGCACAAGCGGUGGAGCAUGUGGAUUAAUUCGAUACUAACCGAAGAACCUCACCUGGGUUUGACAUACACCGGCAAGCUCUGCGAAAUCAGAGCCCUCUAUUCCCAAAAGGUGUAGACCGGUGUACACCGGUUGCAUGGCUGUCGUCAGCUCGUGCCGUGAGGUGUUGGGUUAAGUCCCGCAACGAGCGCAACCCUUGUCCUCUGUUGCCAGCGAGUAAAGUCGGGCACUCUGAGGAGACUGCCGUGGUCAACACGGAGGAAGGUGGGGAUGACGUCAAGUCAGCAUGGCGGUUACAUCCAGGGCUUCACACAUGCUACAAUGGGCGCAACAAAGGGCUGCAAAGCCGCGAGGUGGAGCUAAUCCCAAAAAUGCGUCCUCAGUUGGGAUCGCAGUCUGCAACUCGACUGCGUGAACGCGGAAUCGCUAGUAACGGUGGGUCAGCUAUACCACCGUGAAUACGUUCCCGGGCCUUGUACACACCGCCCGU
rnacentral:rRNA from 1 species